UGAUCCAGCCAUACCGCGUGGGUGAAGAAGGCCUUCGGGUUGUAAAGCCCUUUUGUUGGGAAAGAAAUCCUAUCGGUUAAUAACCGGUGGGGAUGACGGUACCCAAAGAAUAAGCACCGGCUAACUUCGUGCCAGCAGCCGCGGUAAUACGAAGGGUGCAAGCGUUACUCGGAAUUACUGGGCGUAAAGCGUGCGUAGGUGGUGGUUUAAGUCUGCUGUGAAAGCCCUGGGCUCAACCUGGGAAUUGCAGUGGAUACUGGAUCACUAGAGUGUGGUAGAGGGAUGCGGAAUUUCUGGUGUAGCAGUGAAAUGCGUAGAGAUCAGAAGGAACAUCCGUGGCGAAGGCGGCAUCCUGGGCCAACACUGACACUGAGGCACGAAAGCGUGGGGAGCAAACAGGAUUAGAUACCCUGGUAGUCCACGCCCUAAACGAUGCGAACUGGAUGUUGGGUGCAACUUGGCACCCAGUAUCGAAGCUAACGCGUUAAGUUCGCCGCCU
rnacentral:rRNA from 1 species